rnacentral:lncRNA from 1 species
AUGAGUGCCCCUCUGGCUGCCGGUACAUUUUUUUCCGUCUCAUUCCGCCGCCAGGUGAUGGUCUUACUGAAGCAAGUGACAGCCCUCCCUCCGUCCUUUCACACAGAGCAGUCCCAACCCACACUUCUUCCCGUUUGGGAUUCCAGUGGUCUGCGUGGGAAGUCAUGCAAAAUUAUUCAUCCUAAGGAAGAUUCAGUCUCCACCAAAUGGGUCCCAGUGGUUUGAGGACAAUUUGGGGAUAUUUGCCAGCUACGGGCUUACUUUAUUAGUGUUGCCAUAUGGGUUUCACGUGGGCUCUAGAAUUGUUUUUGGUUAUGUAUACCGAAGUUUGUAAAUAUUGCAAAAUUUAUAAAUGUUGUAUUAUGGAGGUCACUGACACCUAGGAGCUGAUCUGAAAACAAAAUUAUUAUUUAUACCCUUACAUCUAAGAGAAAUUACUUAGUGUUCCAAACAUCUAGCUUACUCUUAUAUAUAGAAUAUUAUAUUAGAAAAUUGGGUAAUGUUUGAAGUGUAUUGAACUUUGAGGAGCCCUGAAAGGGUAAGACUGGUUGCCUGAAUAGGAAAAUGUCUUAGACUAUUUUGUCUUUUGAGUUCUUGUGCCUGCCUGAUACUAUAAAAUAGUGUUAUAUAGUUCUCUGCUUUCAGCUGCCUCUCUUUUUUUUUCUUUUAAAUCAGAAUUCCAUCUCUGGCAGCAUUCUUUCUGCUUUAAAUAUCUUAUUUAGCUUUUGUCUAGUAAGCAGGAAUAGUACACUUGUUUGAACUGGAUGUAGGCAGAGCUCACUUAUGCAGGACACAUAAACUUUGUUGCAUCUGUUUUCUUGUUUAUAGAGCAUUUGUUAUUUAUUCUUAAAUUUGCAACUAAAUUUCAGCUAGUUGAAAUUAGAGCCUAAGUCCAGGAAGGUUUUUCUUGUCUUUAUUUGGGGAGGGGGGAUAGGUGGAUCUAAAUAAUUUUUUUUGUCUUUUUUUUUUUUUUUUUUUUUGCCAUUUCUUGGGCCACUCCCAUGGCAUAUGGAGGUUCCCAGGCUAGGGGUCUAAUUGGAGCUAUAGCUGCCUGCCUACGCGAGAGCCACAGCAACGUGGGAUCCGAGCCGCAUCUGCAACCUACGCCACAGCUCACGGCAACGCCGGAUCGUUAACCCACUGAGCAAGGCCAGGGAUCGAACCCACAACCUCAUGGUUCCUAGUCGGAUUCAUUAACUACUGCGCCACGACGGGAACUCCGGAU